UACGUAGGUGGAUAAUUAAGUCAGGGGUGAAAGUCUGCAGCUCAACUGUAGAAUUGCCCUUGAUACUGGUUGUCUUGAGUCAUUAUGAAGUAGUUAGAAUAUGUAGUGUAGCGGUGAAAUGCAUAGAUAUUACAUAGAAUACCAAUUGCGAAGGCAGAUUACUAAUAAUGUACUGACACUGAUGGACGAAAGCGUGGGGAGCGAACAGGAUUAGAUACCCUGGUAGUC
rnacentral:rRNA from 1 species